CAAUAGCGUAUAUUUAAGUUGUUGCAGUUAAAAAGCUCGUAGUUGGAUUUCGGUUAAGAGCGACCGGUCCGCCGUUUGGUGUGCACUGGUUGGUUUUAACUUCCUGUAGAGGACGUGCUCUGGGUUUAACGACCUGGACUCGGAGUCUACGUGGUUACUUUGAAAAAAUUAGAGUGUUCAAAGCGGGCUUACGCUUGAAUAUUUCAGCAUGGAAUAACACUAUAGGACUCCUGUCCUAUUUCGUUGGUCUCGGGACGGGAGUAAUGAUUAAGAGGAACAGUUGGGGGCAUUCGUAUUUCAUUGUCAGAGGUGAAAUUCUUGGAUUUAUGAAAGACGAACUUCUGCGAAAGCAUUUGCCAAGGAUGUUUUUAUUAA
rnacentral:rRNA from 1 species